rnacentral:misc_RNA from 1 species
UUUCCGUAGGUGAACCUGCGGAAGGAUCAUUGUCGAGACCUGCCCAGCAGAACGACCCGCGAACUUGUAUAAACAACCGGGGGCGGGGGGCGUUCUCGCCCCGUGCCCCCGAACGGCGGGGAGACACUCGUGCCUUCUUGCCGAACAACGAACCCCGGCGCGGUCUGCGCCAAGGAACUUCAACUAAAGAGUGCCUCCGGUCGCCUCGGAAACGGCGUGCGUGCCGGGGGCGAAUCUUGUGCAAAACCAUAACGACUCUCGGCAACGGAUAUCUCGGCUCUC